GCUUACGGCCAUAUCACUCUGAAAAAGCCUGAUCUCAUCUGACCUUGGAAGCAAAGCAGAGUUGGGGCCUGGUUAGUACUUGGUUGGGAGACUGAAUGGGAAUACUAGGUGCUGUAAGCU
ensembl:rRNA 5S_rRNA 5S ribosomal RNA